rnacentral:SRP_RNA from 2 species
CUCGCUGUUAGGUAUGGCAAAGCUCUUACAAACCUGGUCAGGUAGGAAACUAAGCAGCCAUAAGUAAAGUAUUUUGGGUAUACCUAAUGGCAUUUUU